rnacentral:precursor_RNA from 1 species
UGGCUCAUGCCUGUAAUCCCAGCACUUUAGGGUGCUGAGGUGGGCAGAUCACUUGAAGCCAGG